rnacentral:rRNA from 1 species
UACGGGGGGAGCAAGCGUUGUUCGGAUUUACUGGGCGUAAAGGGCGCGUAGGCGGCCAGCACAAGUCAGUUGUGAAAUCUCCGAGCUUAACCCGGAAAGGUCAACUGAUACUGCGGGGCUAGAGUGCAGAAGGGGCAACUGGAAUUCUCGGUGUAGCGGUGAAAUGCGUAGAUAUCGAGAGGAACACCUGCGGCGAAGGCGGGUUGCUGGGCUGACACUGACGCUGAACUGCGAAAGCUAGGGGAGCGAACGGG